rnacentral:rRNA from 1 species
GACGAACGUUGGCGGCGUGCUUAAUACAUGCAAGUCAACUGAAGCAGUGGUAGCAAUAUCGCUGUGGAGGUGGCGCACGGGUGAGUAACACGUAGGUAAUCUGCCUUCAGGUCUGGCAUAACUCCGGGAAACCGGGGCUAAUAGCAGAUGAUGCAGCGGCUCGACAUCGAGACAGUUGUUAAAGCUAUGGCGCCUGAAGAUGAGCCUGCGUCUGAUUAGCUAGUUGGCGGGGUAACGGCCCACCAAGGCAACGAUCAGUAGCUGGUCUGAGAGGAUGAUCAGCCACACUGGAACUGAGACACGGUCCAGACUCCUACGGGAGGCAGCAGUAAGGAAUAUUGCUCAAUGGGAGAAAUCCUGAAGCAGCAACGCCGCGUGAGGGACGAAGGGCUUUUGCUUGUAAACCUCUGUAGUGAGAGAAAAAAAUCCCAAGCUUUGGGACAUGAUGGUAUCUCAAAAGUAAGCCCCGGCUAACUACGUG